CGUCUUGCAUCCGUAUCUCGCUGUGAUGAUGUCCUGGCCGCAAAUCUGGCAUAGAAUACUGUCGACAUCGAACUUCCAGUAAGCGAUCGUGGACAAGACGAGUGUUGGCAUGAAGCGAUGGUACCAACGUCUUGGCUGUGUCAUGACGACAACUCUCCGCUUGCGACGUUCUUCUGCAAUCUCUUCCAUUGUCACAGUAGUUCUCUUUUCUCCCUGUUCCGGUAUGAGAAAAUCGCAGAUGCGGCACAUGAUGUAAUUCGACUUACUUUGAUACAAGCCUAUCAUGAAAUAGAAAAAGGCCAGCAAAAACAACUGGAGCCACGUACGCCAUUCAACUGGAACGAAUGCCGUGUUACAGGCAGAACUGUCGGCUAUUUUGCAGUACUUGCUCUCUAGACUGAAGCCACCUAAAACGGCCCGCAUGAGAAAUGCAAACAUUCCAUCGCCCUGGACGUUGAAAACGAAUCGAGCCGAUCCGUAGUUGGGUACGACGAAUUGAAUGUUCAUCAGCAAAUGGUGCAAGUAUUUAGCUGAUUGCUCGAACCAGAAACAAAACAUGACUUUACCGAUCAAACGAAGUGAUUCAGCGAAACGGGAUGGAUAGUUGUACAUGACGAAGACGUAGUCGGACAUCAUUCGAGUGAACGUCGAAUAAUAUCGAUUUCUCUCACGUCGCGACAGAUGAAUUCCCAACCGUUCCAUGAUAGCCCUGCUCAGGUCCAUUUUGCGGCGAACAAAUCGAAACUGGCCGUCAUUUCCAGCAGGUCGUUAUUGACUUUGGGUAAAAGCGGAUUGAUAACAAUUUCACGGCCAAGAGUUUCCAGGGCUUGCUGGUAAUGGGCGUAGGCCACCCCGAAUGCCGUACUUUCAGGAGCAAUGCAGAAUUUAUCCAGAUCUAUUGAGUUCAGCGAUCUGCAAGAAUGGUAUGCAGUUUUCCAGCAAAUUGAAAACACUGUCUCGAAGAAGACUGCUGUACUUCCGAGAUUGUAGGAUUGGUCGAGACAGGUCUGUGAAUGCUUUAUCCAGCUGUUCCAGCGUGCUCGUCGGGUCCGGUGGCAGUUCUCCGAACGUUCCAAAGAUUUCCCUGUUUAACUCCUGGGCACUGGCCAUCAUGAAGUUAAUUUCGUUUUUGUUCCGGUCGCUGAGUCCGAAAACUUUCUGGAACAUGCGAGUCCCAUCAGACAGAUGAUAUGGAUUAUGAUGGAACCACAGUUGAUGUAAAGACUGAGAAUUGGACCGAAAAACAGCUGGGUUUCAAAGACGUGCAUCACGCAGAAUCCGAACAGCGGAAUGAGGAGUUCCAUUGAAGUGAGGACACCCACAGCAGAUAAUUUGAGUUCUGGGUACCAAGGUGUCAACGUGAAGAUCCCAAUCACGACAAAAACGCCCAUAACGUAGAGAUUUUGGAAGUAGAGGUGAACCAUGUAGAAGGCAGCAGACCCACCAAAGCCCAUGAAGACGUUCAAGAUGAUGUUAUAGCUCAACUUACCUGCCCUGCUGGUGUAGAGGCCUUGUACGAAAAAUAACAGGGAGGCUGCCAGGCUGCCUACCAGAAACCAGUAGACGUUCCAGCGUCGUGUGAUGAGCGACAAACGAGUGACAUCCUCGACAGCCAGAAGGAGAAUUGUUCCCAGUGAUCUGAUCUUGUCCUGAACACCUUCCAGCAGCCAGUGCAUGGCUCUGAUGGAUCGGUCCCAGAUGGUGGGCCGACGGGCGAGUGGUUCGUCAUUGCUAGUAUCGUCGCAAGGCAUUUCCCAUACAGUGCGUGAAGAAACGGCAAAGAAGUCACCAGGUGGCGGUAGUUCAUCGCAAUGGGCUAUUGGCUCGCCUUUACUGGUAAUUGUUAUACGAUUCACGUCGCAGACGGUCAUGAUUGUCUCUCGUUCGAAUGAGAAAUUUGACGAAGUCAUAGCUGCUGGUAGAAAACCGAACAAAAAGAAAAUGGUUGCCAACAUCAUGCCGGAGUUCGUCAUUCGUUUUGUAACAAAGGUAUUUGGUGUUCUUUGGCAAUGGUAUUGAAAGACCAUCAUUCAGACUUGAAACAUAUGAGCCAGUUGCUGUUUUGAAUAUUAGUUGUGAAUUAUUAGACAACGUUAUUUCUCCCAAACUGUUCUGCAGUAAAAAAGAGAAAAUCAACUAAGAAUUACCUUUGCCGGAGCGUCCGAAAUGAUUGAGCUAGUCAUCGUGGUGGCCUCGAAUGCGUACUUAAAUGAUCUUCCUCGUUUUCAAAUUUAAACACCGGAAAGGUAAGGUCUACAGGUGGACUAGUCGACCAUGUUCUAACCAUUGGGCUUACGCAAGAUCCGGCCAUUUGCUUGCUGAUUGGUUCUGUUGACUAUUAUGAGUUCAGGUGGAGGAUUAUUUUAACUGUAAGAGGCUCAAAAGACAAACGCUGAAAACAAAAAUGAAAAACUUUUUCACCAGAAACGCAUUUGCAACAGAACUGUGUAAACCGAAAUCCCCAAGAAAAUUGAGCUUGAAGAGGCUCGCAACCAAGUCAAUGCUUCCAGUUAAUCAUCAAAAGACCAAGGAACUUGAACGUUGUGCAGGUCUUCGAUUGUCUCAUUAUGACGUAUCACGAUACCUCGGUCUUCUGGGCCAAAGCACUUGGUGCUGUUGUACCACCAACUGUCGAUAUCCCUAAAUUUCAAUUUUCCGUAAUGAACAACGUCACAGAACGGCUGGGAUGCUAUUUCCUGAUAGCCCGAAUGCACCUGGGCAGAUGUUUUAAAAAACAUUUCAGUCCAAUCAAGUCAUCCAAUGAACUACGGAAUGGGAUGUAAUCUAUGUACCUGAUAAAUAUCUUUCCACCAAAAAUGGCGAAGGACUGAACGAGAGCGCAUCAAUGAAAGAAUGUGACGGUGCUAUGCUUGCGUAAUCUGCUCCCCUGUAUAGUCGAAUUUUGAAAGCAGUUAUGCACAAUAGGCACCGUGUCACGGUCGAGGAGAUCGAAAAAUCUUUUCGUCACGAAGUCGUCACAAAUGUAGCGUUCAAAUGCCAGGACAAAUUUGUAAUUGUUGGCCAGCAUAUCAAGACACGGGAGAAUUGCAGCACCUGGCAUACCAUUAGUUUCCGGACAGCUCUUUUCGCCGCACGGCCCAUAGCUAUCUACUUCUACGUAUUCCUAUCAAUAGCUCGUUAAUGUAUGCUUCACGUUUGCUUUUGGAUCCACAACGGGCAACGUACCAAGCCACGAGCCUUUUCUUCUUCUUACUGUUCCUGAGUCGGAUUCUAUAAACAAGAGUGAAUUAAGUUCGCAUUCGAUGAAGAUCAUUCAAAGACAUACUGAGAAAACGAGUUUUUCAUCAGCGGCUGGUCCAGCUUCUUAACCCAACCCCGUUUCCAUGUUACAUCAGCAUUUUUACGAAACAUCGUCUAACGUAAAGCCAAAAUCGCCGUACCACGGGUUCCAAAGAAGAAUGGUCUUUACGUCGGUGUUCGGUAGGGUUGACAUUCCUACACGCUCAACAACAUCCAGCUGACGAUAAUCGCCAUCAACGUUAUGGAUCGUAAGCUGUUUAACGAAGAAAAUAUUGAAUAAAAAGAAAAGCCACAACGGAUAGAUAACGCAGUGACGAUUUGGCCGAUGAAACAACGUUCGAAGUCUAGGCAUUCUCGCGCUACAUCGAGUGCUCGCAAAGCACGUACUGCGGUUAAUAGCUUAAACGCGUUCGUCUGGGAAUGUAACCAACAACAGUUAACACUGAUAGCUGUCGGUCGACUGAAGAAAGUUGAUACCCGAUGCCGACUUUCUGCCGCAUCGCGCUAGCGCUGUAGCGUACUGGCGCGAUUUUUGAAAUACACCGAAUAUUUGACGCUAUGCUAGCGCGCCAGUACACAUGCCUGACUACAGAAGGAAUUCGUAUUGCUGAAGAAACCAGUUUAUUGGAAUAUUUUCAAUUUAUACCUUUCCAUUUUUGGUGCCGUAUUUUUUUUUUUAAUUAAUCAAUUGACAACAUACCUAUCAAAAUCUCGAGCAAUACAUGUAAGGACAAUUAUGGCAUA